rnacentral:rRNA from 1 species
GACGAACGCUGGCGGCGUGCUUAACACAUGCAAGUCGAACGGAAAGGCCCUGCUUUUGUGGGGUGCUCGAGUGGCGAACGGGUGAGUAACACGUGAGUAACCUGCCCUUGACUUUGGGAUAACUUCAGGAAACUGGGGCUAAUACCGGAUAGGAGCUCCUGCUGCAUGGUGGGGGUUGGAAAGUUUCGGCGGUUGGGGAUGGACUCGCGGCUUAUCAGCUUGUUGGUGGGGUAGUGGCUUACCAAGGCUUUGACGGGUAGCCGGCCUGAGAGGGUGACCGGCCACAUUGGGACUGAGAUACGGCCCAGACUCCUACGGGAGGCAGCAGUGGGGAAUAUUGCACAAUGGGCGGAAGCCUGAUGCAGCAACGCCGCGUGCGGGAUGACGGCCUUCGGGUUGUAAACCGCUUUCGCCUGUGACGAAGCGUGAGUGACGGUAAUGGGUAAAGAAGCACCGGCUAACUACGUGCCAGCAGCCGCGGUGAUACGUAGGGUGCGAGCGUUGUCCGGAUUUAUUGGGCGUAAAGGGCUCGUAGGUGGUUGAUCGCGUCGGAAGUGUAAUCUUGGGGCUUAACCCUGAGCGUGCUUUCGAUACGGGUUGACUUGAGGAAGGUAGGGGAGAAUGGAAUUCCUGGUGGAGCGGUGGAAUGCGCAGAUAUCAGGAGGAACACCAGUGGCGAAGGCGGUUCUCUGGGCCUUUCCUGACGCUGAGGAGCGAAAGCGUGGGGAGCGAACAGGCUUAGAUACCCUGGUAGUCCACGCUGUAAACGGUGGGUACUAGGUGUGGGGUCCAUUCCACGGGUUCCGUGCCGUAGCUAACGCUUUAAGUACCCCGCCUGGGGAGUACGGCCGCAAGGCUAAAACUCAAAGGAAUUGAAGGGGCCCCGCACAAGCGGCGGAGCAUGCGGAUUAAUUCGAUGCAACGCGUAGAACCUUACCUGGGUUUGACAUGGAUCGGGAGUGCUCAGAGAUGGGUGUGCCUCUUUUGGGGUCGGUUCACAGGUGGUGCAUGGCUGUCGUCAGCUCGUGUCGUGAGAUGUUGGGUUAAGUCCCGCAACGAGCGCAACCCUUGUUCACUGUUGCCAGCACGUUAUGGUGGGGACUCAGUGGAGACCGCCGGGGUCAACUCGGAGGAAGGUGGGGAUGACGUCAAGUCAUCAUGCCCCUUAUGUCCAGGGCUUCACGCAUGCUACAAUGGCUGGUACAGAGAGUGGCGAGCCUGUGAGGGUGAGCGAAUCUCGGAAAGCCGGUCUCAGUUCGGAUUGGGGUCUGCAACUCGACCUCAUGAAGUCGGAGUCGCUAGUAAUCGCAGAUCAGCAACGCUGCGGUGAAUACGUUCCCGGGGCU